GCCAGGCAUGGUGGCUCAUGCCUGUAAUCCUAGCACUUUGGGAGGCCGAGGUGGGUGGAUCACCUGAGGUCAGGAGUUUGAGAUCAGCCUGGCCAACAUGGUGAAACCCCAUCUCUA
ensembl:misc_RNA Metazoa_SRP Metazoan signal recognition particle RNA